rnacentral:rRNA from 1 species
CCUACGGGUGACAGCAGUGAGGAAUAUUGGUCAAUGGCCGGAAGGCUGAACCAGCCAUGCCGCGUGAAGGUCAGUGCCCUAUGGGCGUUAAACUUCUUUUGUGCGGGAGCAAUAAUGGUCACGUGUGGCCAGACGAGAGUACCGUACGAAUAAGCAUCGGCUAACUCCGUGCCAGCAGCCGCGGUAAUACGGGGGAUGCAAGCGUUAUCCGGAUUUAUUGGGUUUAAAGGGUGCGUAGGCUGUGAGGUAAGUCAGCGGUGAAAUGCCCCCGGUCAACGGGGUGAAGUGCCAUUGAUACUGGCUGGCUGGAAUGCGGAUGCCGUGGGAGGAAUGUGUGGUGUAGCGGUGAAAUGCAUAGAUAUCACACAGAACACCGAUUGCGAAGGCAUCUCACGAAUCCGCGAUUGACGCUGAUGCACGAAAGCGUGGGUAUCAAACAGGAUUAGAUACCCGGGUAGUC